ACAGCAGGGGGCAGGAGGCACGCGCUGGCACGUGGGAGAGUCUCCUGGAAACACAGGCCGAGCGCGUCCACGCCGGCGCGUCCCCGAGCGACUCCAGCCGUCCAAUCAGCGCUCAGAUGGAUGUGCUGAAUCUGCAGCACUGCCCAACAAAGACAGGGAAGCAGAAGACAGAUAGAAAGUAGGCUGAACAUGGAUGUAAACGAUGCAAGCUUUAAAAUACUUUAAAAAUCAGCAUUGCAAGUGUUUUAUGAGGAAGGAAAUGUACUGGACACAAUGUGUUUUGGAAGCCGGGGUUUGGAUUUAAAAGCAGCGGACCUUGAGAUGAUCCACCCAGCCAGAUUAACUGGACCAGACACCAUAGCAGGUGCUGUUUGAUUGCCCCAGGAGGAGAGGAAGAGCUUGGAUGGGAGCCAAGCUGGCCCAGUUUGGAUAUAAGGCUGCUCCUGGCUAAUGUCUUAUAAUACAGUGUUUUACCUUGUGGUAUUGCUACUUUAACUUAAAUAAAAGUUUUGAA